CCCCCUUCUUCUCUUCUUCUUCUUCCUUCCUCUUGUUGGCUGCUGCUUCACCCACCACCACAUCGCCGCCCCAAGCCCUACUCACCACCACCUCUUGGCCACCAAACCACCACCACCCACCGCUCGUCCGACGAGCCGUCUCGCUGUUGAGCCCGACGAGCUGUCACGCCAUCCACGCCGCCCCUCGCUGCCGUGAGCCACUGCCACCGUCACCACCUCUUGCCGCCGCUCGCUCGCUCGGCCGUUCAGGCCGUCGUUGCUUCAAAUCGCCACCGCCUCCGCCAGAACCGAGCUCUUCCCCCCUUGGCCGUGGGUUGAGCCGCGACCGUCGCCGUAUUCGCCGCGCCGUCCGUGCCAUAAUUAGUCAGUAGUACGAGUCGUGCAAAGGGUCAAGCAACGUAGUCUGAGCUGAUGGGGGGUGGAGGAGGAGGAAACAUUGACGGACGUCGUCCAGCGCAAGUCCGCUUUAAGGAUCCUUCGAGGAACCUUCGCCUCCGCCAGGGGCGUGUCCAGAACAUGAACCGAAACCAGGGUGAAGAGUCACUCCCUCGGGAGCCAAAAGGUGGAGCGACGACAUUUCGAUCAACUAAUCACGACAAGAAGUAGAUCAGCCAACACAUGUUGAUGGGUGAUCCUUGGCCCUUUUUGUCAACGUCGUCUCAUUGACAGUCAAGGAAAAGGACCUGAUUUGUUCCCAAGGGUCAUUGUGAAUCCAAAAGGAGGCUCAGAUUAUUACUACUUUGUGACUUCCAAUGGUAUCCGUAUCCACUAAAAAUGCUUUUCAGGUAGGAAACUAUACUGCAUCCUGGGGUGAUCUAUCUGUUCAAGGUUUAUCAAUGACAUCUGGACAACCUCCUCCUUGGAUUGGUGCUUGAACUGAUGUUUCUAGGAUUUUAUGCAUCAAUCUAAAGUUCUGGUUAUGAUAUGGAGAUAUUCAUGCACAGAUAUGCCAAGAUUUUGUGCAUGCUAUUCCCUGUUUUAUGUGCUGCUUCAUGAAUGAAGCUUUAAUUAAUUCACAACCUUGUGGGUAUCAA